rnacentral:rRNA from 1 species
AGGGUUUGAUCCUGGCUCAGGAUGAACGCUAGCGGCAGGCUUAAUACAUGCAAGUCGAGGGGCAGCAUGAAGUAGCAAUACUUUGAUGGCGACCGGCAAACGGGUGCGGAACACGUACACAACCUUCCUUUUAGUGGGGAAUAGCCCAGAGAAAUUUGGAUUAAUACCCCGUAACAUAACCGAGUGGCAUCACUUGGUUAUUAUAGCUUCGGCGCUAAAUGAUGGGUGUGCGUAUGAUUAGAUAGUUGGCGAGGUAACGGCUCACCAAGUCUACGAUCAUUAGCUGAUGUGAGAGCAUGAUCAGCCACACGGGCACUGAGACACGGGCCCGACUCCUACGGGAGGCAGCAGUAAGGAAUAUUGGUCAAUGGACGCAAGUCUGAACCAGCCAUGCCGCGUGAAGGAUUAAGGUCCUCUGGAUUGUAAACUUCUUUUAUCUGGGACGAAAAAAGGUCUUUCUAGACCCCUUGACGGUACCAGAUGAAUAAGCACCGGCUAACUCCGUGCCAGCCGCCGCGGUAAUUCA